rnacentral:lncRNA from 1 species
UAAUCCCAACUUAGCGAUUGUUCCUAAAAGUUGUGAACAUCUACUACCACUAAACACUAAGGUACUUCAUCAUAUCCUAACUAGCAUCAUUCUCCCUAAACAAUACCAUCAUGAUGAAGUAAGCCAAAUAGAAUUAGGAACUAUGUAUUAGAUCAUGAAAGGACAUGACAUCUGGUUAUCUUAUCCAACAAAACAUGUUAGA